rnacentral:rRNA from 1 species
AUGGGCGAGCCUGAUGCAGCACGCCGCGUGGAGGAUGAAGGCCUUCGGGUUGUAAACUCUUGUCUUCUGGGACGAUAAUGACGGUACCAGAGGAGGAAGCCACGGCUAACUACGUGCCAGCAGCCGCGGUAAUAA